rnacentral:rRNA from 1 species
AUUGAACGCUGGCGGCAGGCCUAACACAUGCAAGUCGAGCGAGCGGCGGACGGGUGAGUAAUGUAUGGGGACUGCCCGAUAGAGGGGGAUAACUACUGGAAACGGUAGCUAAUACCGCAUACUAUCGGAUAACCCAUAUGGGAUUAGCUAGUAGGUGAGGUAAUGGCUCACCUAGGCGACGAUCCCUGGCUGGUCUGAGAGGAUGAUCAGCCACUCUGGGACUGAGACACGGCCCGGACACCAAGGGAGGCAGAAGUGGGGGUUGUGGGACAAUGGGGGCAAGCCUGAUGCAGCCAUGCCGCGUGUAUGAAGAAGGCCCUAGGGUUGUAAAGUGCUUUAAGUCGGGAGGCGUUACCCGCAGAAGAAGCACCGGCUAGCUCCGUGCCAGCAGCCGCGGUAAUAC